AGCCGAAGGAUCGACCAGCCGCCUGGAC
rnacentral:piRNA from 1 species